rnacentral:rRNA from 1 species
GACGAACGCUGGCGGCGUGCCUAACACAUGCAAGUCGAGCGGGGUUGAGGCGAGAGGUAACUCGAGCUUCUACCUAGCGGCGGACGGGUGAGUAACGCGUGGGCAACCUGCCUCAAGGUUUGGGAUAACAGCCCGAAAGGGCUGCUAAUACCGGAUAUGCCUAUGGCCUCGCAUGGGGCUAUGAGCAAAGGGGAAACCCGCCUUGAGAUGGGCCCGCGUCCCAUCAGCUAGUUGGUGAGGUAACAGCUCACCAAGGCGACGACGGGUAGCCGGCCUGAGAGGGUGACCGGCCACACUGGGACUGAGACACGGCCCAGACUCCUACGGGGGGCAGCAGUGGGGGAUCUUGCACAAUGGGCGAAAGCCUGAUGCAGCGACGCCGCGUGAGCGAAGAAGGGCCUUCGGGUUCGUAAAGCUCUGUCCUGGAGGGACGAACAAAAUGACGGUACCUCCGGAGGAAGCCACGGCUAACUACGUGCCAGCAGCCGACGGUAAAUCAACGUGUACCG